UACGGGGGGGGCAAGCGUUGUUCGGAAUUACUGGGCGUAAAGGGUUCGUAGGUGGCCAACUAAGUCAGACGUGAAAUCCCUCAGCUUAACUGGGGAACUGCGUCUGAUACUGGUUGGCUUGAGUGCAGGAGAGGAACGCGGAAUUCCAGGUGUAGCGGUGAAAUGCGUAGAUAUCUGGAGGAACACCGGUGGCGAAGGCGGCAUCCUGGACCAAUAUUGACGCUGAGGAGCGAAAGCGUGGGGAGCGAACAGG
rnacentral:rRNA from 1 species